AGUGCGACAUCACACCGGCCAUAGUACGUUUCGCGCGCGACUAAAGCACCGCCUACUUCAGAAAAAUUUUCGACAAAGUCCCGGCAUAAUUGCGCGCGUGCCUUGAAUAACUGAUAGAGGCAUCUUCCCUCCAGAGAAUUAUGGAUCGUUGGGUUGGUAAAACCGCGAUCGUUACUGGCGCAGCAUCCGGCAUCGGGGAAGCAAUUACAGCUGCCCUGUUGUUGAAAAAAGUAAACGUGCUGGCGCUAGACAUACAAGCCGAGAAAUUAUUGCUCGCCAGCACCAAAUGGGAGCAGAUCGUCGAACGAGGGGAAUUUUGCAUCCUCGACUGCGAUAUAAGCGAGGAGAAAGACGUGGAACGCGCUUUCACGCUCGCACAGACGAAUUGGGGUGGCGUGGACAUCAUGGUAAACAACGCAGGUGUCAUCAACUACACUCGUGUCAUUGAGAGCGACAGGGCGGCGUUUGAAAGGCUGUUAAAUAUUAAUAUCCUUGCGACCGCCGUAUUCAUCAACCGGGCGGUGCGGUCGAUGCGCCAGCGAAACGUCGAAGGGCAUAUUUUCAAUAUCAACAGCGUGCUGGGACACGAAAUUCCGAGCAGAUUCCUUUCGGAAAUCGAUGGCUGCAAUGGCUGGAACCUGUACCCGACUUGCAAACACGGAACCGUUGCAUUAACGCACACGGUGCGACGGGAAUUGGCGGCUGUUAAAGCACCGAUUCGAAUCACCAGCAUCUGUCCUGGUCUAGUUCAUAGUGGCAUCGCCACAAAUUCACCUGAAGUUGACAGAAUUCUGGCAGAAAUUCCAAGUCUGCAACCACAAGACGUGGCGGACGGAUUGAUGUAUGCCCUUGGUACUCGACCCGAAGUACAAAUCACGGAACUCGUUAUUCAACGCACGGGUGAAAUGUAAAACUUCCAUGCGGUUGUAACUCCAGCAGAGUCGGUACCCAAAUAAACGAUAUCUGCAUGGAGUACGAGUGCGCACGUAAAAUUACAGGAAAAAGAUCGCAGAGAGUGCACGUUAGACAGUUUUACUCGAUCGAGCGAUUCAUUACUACACUGGUUAUUGAUUAUAAAUUGCAAAUCGACCGAGCAUAAGCGUGCCAUAAUUACAGAGGCCAGGCUCCUUAGAAUUCAAUGAUUGACGCUAUUAUUGGCCUGCGUGACUAAACUUGGUAUUAAUUCUAGUUACAAGAGUAAUAGUUACCGACUACCCGGCUUCCCUCUCUCGUACUAUCUCUAAUUAUCCGUAAUCGCUGACAUACGUCUAUCGUAACCAGCCUGCUAUUAAGUACUCGACGUGUGCCGUACACUUUUUCCACUGAUUUAAUGCAUCGAGCAAUAUAAUUUACGUAAUGCACUCCGUUAAUAGUUUGCGGUUCGCGAUUUCGUUAAAUACAGCACGCUCUAAAAUUUGAUAGCAAUUUAUCGUGGCACGGAGGAUCGUGGACGUCAAAUAUCGGCGUAUUAAUCGAGUGCCCGAGAGUGGUGUCAAUUUCAUUUGCGACGACUCGUAUUUUCGUAGAUUUUCCCAGAUUCGGUAGCUUGAACAUAGAUUUAAAAAUGGUUGUUUAAGACGUAAUUGUAUUGGAUAGUAAAUUUUAUUAUAGAAAUGGUUAAUGCAAUAACAAAUCAACUAAAUAAAAGAUAUA